rnacentral:rRNA from 1 species
GCCUGGGGAAUGGCUCGGCUCGAGAGCUGAAGAAGGUCGUGACAAGCUGCGAUAAGCUGCGGGGAGAGGCAUGAAUCUCUUGGAUCCGCAGAUUGCCGAAUGGGACCUCCUGUCGCUAUGCGACAUUCCCGGUUUAACUGGGAAAGGGAACCGCCCGAAUUGAAGCAUCUUAGUAGGGCGAGGAAAAGAAAUCAAACGAGUAUUCCGUUAGUAGUGGCGAAUGAACACGGAGAAGGACAAACUGAAUCUCCUUGGGAAACCUUGGAGAGAUGUGGGGUAUGGAUCGUCUUUCGUCUAAAUUCAUGAAGCAGAAGUCGCCUGGAACGGCGCACCAUAGAGGGUGAAAGUCCCGUAUGCGUAGUGAACAUGACCAAGUGGCGUGCCCAGAGUACCGUGCGUCGGAUAUCGCGCGGGAAUAUGGGAGGCAGAUACUUCCAAUCCUAAAUACGACUCAAGACCGAUAGUGGACCAAGUAGCGUGAGCGAACGCUGAAAAGUAUCCUUUACGGGAUGUUAAAAGACCCUGAAACCAGGUAGGAACAGACUGAUAUGGCGUGAAAGCGAUGAAAUGAGCAGCGUCAUAUCGUGCGUUUCGAAUAAUGCCCCUGGGAGUCUUGAUCACUGGCGAGGUUAAGCAGUUAAACUGCGAAGCCGGAGGGAAACCGACAAGUCCGCAGCCUUCGGGCGAGGGACGAAGUGUGCUCGCUUGGAGUCAGUGGUGGAGGACCUGAAGCCCGUCGAUCUAUGCCUGGCCAGAUUGAAGCCCGAUGAAAGUUGGGUGGAGGAUCGAACCGUUGCUGAUCUGCAAAUCGCUCGGAGGAGCUGGGUAUAGGGGUGAAAGUCCAAUCGAGAUGGGCAAUAGCAGGUUCCGCGCGAGACUACU